GAUGAACGCUAGCGACAGGCUUAACACAUGCAAGUCGAGGGGCAACAUGAUUUUAGCUUGCUAAAAUUGAUGGCGACCGGCGCACGGGUGAGUAACGCGUAUGUAACUUGCCUACCAGAGGGGGAGAGCCCGGCGAAAGUCGGAUUAAUACCGCAUAAAACAGGGGUUCCGCAUGGAAAUAUUUGUUAAAGGAUUACCGCUGGUAGAUAGGCAUGCGUUCCAUUAGAUAGUUGGUGAGGUAACGGCUCACCAAGUCGACGAUGGAUAGGGGUUCUGAGAGGAAGGUCCCCCACAUUGGUACUGAGACACGGACCAAACUCCUACGGGAGGCAGCAGUGAGGAAUAUUGGUCAAUGGGCGAGAGCCUGAACCAGCCAAGUCGCGUGAAGGAUGAAGGAUCUAUGGUUUGUAAACUUCUUUUAUACGGGAAUAAACCUCCACGUGUGGGAGCUUGUAUGUACCGUAUGAAUAGCAUCGGCUAACUCCGUG
rnacentral:rRNA from 1 species